GCCAUAGUUCGCUGUUUGGAAACUGGUAGAUUGCCCCGUCCAGGUUGGGGGAGAGUCACUGCUCCAAGAGAAGGAGUUCAAGUAUCUCCGGGUCUUAUUCACGAGUGACGAUAUAAUGGAGCGUGAGAUGGAUCGGCGGGUUGGUGCAGCUUCUGCAGUGAUGCCGGUGCUCAGCCAGAAGGCAAAGCUUUCGAUUUACUGGUCCAUCUGCGCCCCAACCCUCACCUAUGGUCAUGAGCUCUGGGUAGUGACUGAAAGAAGGAGAUCACGGAUACAAGUGUCCAAAAUGAGUUUCCUCCGUAGGGUGUCUGGGCUCAGCCUAGAGAUAGGGUGAGGAACAUGGACAUCUGCUCCAUCAUGUUGAAAGGCGUCAGUUGAGGUGGUUCGGGCAUCUGAUCAGGAUGCCUCCUGUUAGAGAUGUUUCCGGCACAUCCCACCGAUAGGAGACCUCGGGGCAGACCCAGAACACGCUGAAGGGAUUAUAUAUCUCAUCUGGCCUGGGAACGCUUUGGGGUCGCCCAGGAGGAGCUGGAAAGGGUCACUGGGGAGAGAGACGUCUGGGGUGCUUUGCUCAGCCUGCUGCCCCCACGACCUGGCCUCGGACAAGCGAUUGAAAAUGGAUGGAUGGAAUAUCAUGAUCACCAUUUCUCAAUCAUGUGCAAUACCAUUUGUAGUUGUUAUAUCAUUCAAUAUAACAUUAUCUGGCGCAGUCUUUUUCCACCAUUUUAGUUCAUUCUCAGUAACUCAUGUACUGAUCUUACUCCUGUUGUUCUUCUAUUAGACACUGGAUUUCAUGUUGCUCCUUGAAAACACUUAUAACUUGUGUAUUUGUGCAGAUAUUUAACACUCUAUUGUUCUAAAACUGGACCCAGUGAGUGACCCUGAUUCAGGAACCCACUGGCUGUUAUUUAAUUUGUGUUAUGAAGCAUUCUCUGGCACAAGAAUUUCCUUUGGGAUACAUGUGAUAUUAACUUGAGUUGAAAGCAGCCACUAGGUGUCGCCCUCUGUGUAAAUAUCUCUCCCGGUGUUUUUUGUUUUCAGCUUUCGUUUCCUCCGGACUGUGUGAACCCCCUCUCUACUGUAUUUCUAGGAAUUGCACUUUUGGCAUGAAGUAAACAGUGAGUCACCUCUCACAGGCUGCUGGAGGCUGUAUGUGCUGCUUAUAGGAGCACUGUGAACAUCUGUGUGCAGAAAACAAGGGGUGGGGAUGCAGUGGGGAGCAGCUCAUGUUGAAGUUAGAGCAAACAGUGAUCAGAUGUCGCUUCUGUGUCCCAACACAUCUCACUCAACUGUUUCCCCCAACAAUAUUUCAGUAUUGAGAAACAACACAUGUAUUAAUGCGGCUCUGUGAUUGGCUGCGGCCGGUCUCUAGCUCAGCAGCGGGCCAAUCAGGAGCCGCUGUUGUUUGUGCAUCGCUGCUGCGCUGCUAUAAAGCGGCAGCAAUGAGGGAUGAGAGGAGAAACACAGAUCCAAAGACACUGAAGACACAUCCUGAGUGUGUGUUUCACCCCCGCUGCUGUGUGUGUGUGUCGUCGAGGGGCCGUUUGGACGCGCAGAGGCCGAGCUGAGUGAGGACAGAGCCGGUCCAUUGUCCCUGAAUCCAGCAGGCUCAGGCUCCAGCAGCCUCCCUCACCUCCAGUCGGGCCAGUGAAGUGCGACCUUCGACCCGACCAAGAUGGCUCCCACCCUGGCCACUGCUUUCUCCCGCCGCUGGUGGAUGGCGGUGACGGCGGUCAUCGAGAACCUGCUCUUCUCCGCCGUGCUGCUGGGCUGGGGUUCCCUGCUCAUCA